UGGGGAAUAUUGGGCAAUGGGCGCAAGCCUUACCCAGCAACGCCGCGUGAGGGAAGAAGGUUUUCGGAUUGUAAACCUCUGUCCUGGGGGACGAAGGAAGUGACGGUACCCCGGGAGGAAGCCCCGGCUAACUACGUGCCAGCAGCCGCGGUAAUACGUAGGGGGCGAGCGUUGUCCGGAAUUAUUGGGCGUAAAGGGCGCGUAGACGGCCGGGUAAGUUAUAGGUGAAAGCCCAUCUUUCAAGGAUGGAAUUGCCUGUAAUACUGCUUGGCUUGAGUGCAGGAGAGGGAAGCGGAAUUCCUAGUGUAGCGGUGAAAUGCGUAGAUAUUAGGAGGAACACCAGUGGCGAAGGCGGCUUUCUGGACUGUAACUGACGUUGAGGCGCGAAAGCGUGGGGAGCAAACAGG
rnacentral:rRNA from 1 species